AUGGUGGAGCGAUGUCUCUCUCAUAGGAAGUUCUCUGCUCCCAGGCACAGGUCUUUGGGCUUCUUGCCUUGGAAAUGCAGCAGCCAGCAUCAUGGGAAAGUAAAGAGCUUCCCCAAAGAUGAACCUUCCAAGUCUUUCUACCUCACAUCCUAUCUGGGCUAUAAGGCUGGCAUUAUUCACAUUGUGUAUGAAAUUGACAGGCCAGGAUCCAAGGUGAACAAGAUGGAGGUUGUGGAUGCUGUCACAAUUGUGGAGAUACCCCUAUGGUGAUUGUGGGCAUUGUGGGCUAUGUAGAAACCUCAUGUGGCCUCUGCCCCUUUAAGACCGUCUUUGCUGAGCAUAUCUGGGAUGAAUGCAAAAGGUGCUUCUACAAGAACUGACACAAAUCUAAGAAGAACGCCUUCAUCAAGUGCUGUAAGAAAUGGCAGGACGACAUGGGCAAGAAAUAGCUGGAGAAGAACUUCAACAGCUUGAAGAAGUACUGCCAGGUCAUCAGCCUCAUCACCCACAGCCAGCUGCUGGCCUGCUUCCUCUCAGUCAGGAGGCCCACUUGACGGAGAUCCAGGUGAACUCGGGCACCGUAGCUGAGAAACGAGACUGGGCCAGGGGAGGCUGGAGCAGCAAGUCCAGGUAAACCAGGUGUUUGGGCAGGAUAAGUCGACUGAUGUCAUCGGGGUGACCAAAGGCAAAGUCUACAAAUGGGCCACCAGCUGCUGGCACAUCAAAGAGGCUGCCCUGGAAGAUCCACCGAGGUCUGUGCAAGGUUGCUUGUACCAGAGCCUGGCGCCCUGCCUGUGUGGCCUUCUCUGUGGUUCAAGCUGAGCAAAGAAGCUACCAUCAUGGCAUGGAGAUCAACAAGAAGAUUUACAAGAUUGGUCAGGGCUACCUUAUCAAGGAUAGCAAGGUGAUAAAGAACAAUGCCUUCACCCCUUUCUGACAAGAGCAUAAACCCCUUGGGUGGCUUUGUCCAUUAUGGUGAGGUGACCAAUGAUUUCGUCUUGCUGAAAGGCUGUGUGGUGGGACCCAAGAAGCCAGUACUCAUCCUUCGCAAGUCCUUGCUGGAACAGACCAAAUGUGGUGCUCUGGAGAAGAUUGACCUGAAGUUCAUUGACACCACCUCCAAAUUUGGCCGUGACUGUUACCAGACCAUGAAGGAGAAGAAAACAUUUAUGGGACCACUCAAGAAAGACCAGAUUGCCAAGGAGGAAGGUGCUUAG